GAUGAACGCUGGCGGCGUGCCUAAUACAUGCAAGUCGAGCGAACAGACGAGAAGCUUGCUUCCCUGAUCUUAGCGGCGGACGGGUGAGUAACACAUGAAUAACCUCCCUAUAAGACUGGGAUAACUUCGGGAAACGGGAACUAAAGCCGGGUGAUAUUUUGAACCUCUUUGUUCAAAAGGGAAAGACGGCAUUGCCGUCACUUAUGGAUCAAUCCGCGCUGCAUUAGCCAGUUGGUAAGGUAACGGCUUACCAAGGCAACAAAGCAUAGCCGACCUGAGAGGGUGAUCGGCCACACUGGGAAUGAGGCUCGAUCCAGACUCCUACGGGAGGCAGCAGUAGAGAAUCUUCCGCAAUGGGCGGAAGCCUGACCGAGCAACGCCGCGUGAGUGAUGAAGAUCUUCGGUUCGUAAAACUCUGUUAUUAGGGAAGAACAUAUGUGUACGUACCUGUGCACAUCUGGACGGUAACUAAUCAGAAAGCCACGGCUACCUACGUG
rnacentral:rRNA from 1 species